AACGAACGCUGGCGGCGUGCCUAACACAUGCAAGUCGAGCGGGAAAGUUCCCUUCGGGGAGCAAGUACAGCGGCGAACGGGUGAGUAACACGUAGGUAACCUACCCUGGAGAUCGGGAUAACCUGCCGAAAGGCGGGCUAAUACCGGAUAAGACCACGAGGGCUGCGGCCCUUGAGGAAAAAGAUGGCCUCUGCUUGCAAGCUAUCACUCUGGGAUGGGCCUGCGCGCCAUUAGCAGUUGGUGAGGUAACGGCUCACCAAGGCUGAGAUGGCUAGCUGGUCUGAGAGGAUGGCCAGCCACACUGGGACUGAGACACGGCCCAGACUCCUACGGGAGGCAGCAGUGGGGAAUAUUGCGCAAUGGGCGAAAGCCUGACGCAGCGACGCCGCG
rnacentral:rRNA from 1 species